GCAGUUACUGCGCUGCCAUAUCUGUUGGGUCCAUUCAUUCAUCAGCCAUGGUUCCAAUCAGUGCUGCUGCUGUUGCUCAGUCUGGUAGAACCGGGGGUCCUUGGCUUGUAGGGGGUCCCUUCCUUAGCCUUAAUAGUGGGUAGAGAUGGUGGAUCUCAUUGUUCUUUUUAUUUAUUGCUUACUGAGCAUUUUGUGAUUAUUUGGAAUAUGUCCAGCCAAUCUUGCUCAGGGACUGAGGUUUAAGUCUGUUUCCGAAGACUUAGUAUAGUCCGGUAAGUUGGGGUGUUUGUGUUCCAGCAUGACCUUGUACGUUAGAGAGAGUCCGUGUCGGUGUAUUUAUAGAGCUUUAUGUUUCAAAGCUGGUUAGUGGUCUACACACAGUAUUUCCUAUUGAUAUAGACGUCAUGUAAUGUUUCAGCUGUCUGUACCUCCACUUGUCCCCAACUUACCGCUUUUCUUUGUUUUUUAGGAGCAUGGGGAUCUGGUCUAUUUCCAUGCCUAGAAGGUGCCUUGAUUGAAGAUUCUGGAGCCCAAAAGCAGUUUUGUAUCCCUUAUGUUCAAUCCCAGUACCUGAAAUGACAGACCAUGUGGGGGGUCUUCAAAGCUGCGAAAAGAC